rnacentral:rRNA from 1 species
GGGAGGCAGCAGUGGGGAAUAUUGCACAAUGGGCGCAAGCCUGAUGCAGCCAUGCCGCGUGUAUGAAGAAGGCCUUCGGGUUGUAAAGUACUUUCAGCGAGGAGGAAGGCGUUAAGGUUAAUAACCUUGGCGAUUGACGUUACUCGCAGAAGAAGCACCGGCUAACUCCGUGCCAGCAGCCGCGGUAAUACGGAGGGUGC